GGGUUGUGAGGUUAAGCGACUAAGCGUACACGGUGGAUGCCCUGGCAGUCAGAGGCGAUGAAGGGCGUGCUAAUCUGCGAUAAGCGCCGGUAAGGUGAUAUGAACCGUUAUAACCGGCGAUACCCGAAUGGGGAAACCCAGUGUGAUUCGUCACACUAUCAUUAACUGAAUCCAUAGGUUAAUGAGGCGAACCGGGGGAACUGAAACAUCUAAGUACCCCGAGGAAAAGAAAUCAACCGAGAUUCCCCCAGUAGCGGCGAGCGAACGGGGAGGAGCCCAGAGCCUGAAUCAGCAUGUGUGUUAGUGGAAGCGUCUGGAAAGGCGCGCGAUACAGGGUGACAGCCCCGUACACAAAAGCGCAUGUGUUGUGAGCUCGAUGAGUAGGGCGGGACACGUGGUAUCCUGUCUGAAUAUGGGGGGACCAUCCUCCAAGGCUAAAUACUCCUGACUGACCGAUAGUGAACCAGUACCGUGAGGGAAAGGCGAAAAGAACCCCGGCGAGGGGAGUGAAAAAGAACCUGAAACCGUGUACGUACAAGCAGUGGGAGCACAGGUUUACCUGUGUGACUGCGUACCUUUUGUAUAAUGGGUCAGCGACUUAUAUUCUGUAGCAAGGUUAACCGUAUAGGGGAGCCGCAGGGAAACCGAGUCUUAAUUGGGCGUUAAGUUGCAGGGUAUAGACCCGAAACCCGGUGAUCUAGCCAUGGGCAGGUUGAAGGUUGGGUAACACUAACUGGAGGACCGAACCGACUAAUGUUGAAAAAUUAGCGGAUGACCUGUGGCUGGGGGUGAAAGGCCAAUCAAACCGGGAGAUAGCUGGUUCUCCCCGAAAGCUAUUUAGGUAGCGCCUCGUGAACUCAUCUCCGGGGGUAGAGCACUGUUUCGGCUAGGGGGCCAUCCCGGCUUACCAACCCGAUGCAAACUGCGAAUACCGGAGAAUGUUAUCACGGGAGACACACGGCGGGUGCUAACGUCCGUCGUGAAGAGGGAAACAACCCAGACCGCCAGCUAAGGUCCCAAAGUCAUGGUUAAGUGGGAAACGAUGUGGGAAGGCCCAGACAGCCAGGAUGUUGGCUUAGAAGCAGCCAUCAUUUAAAGAAAGCGUAAUAGCUCACUGGUCGAGUCGGCCUGCGCGGAAGAUGUAACGGGGCUAAACCAUGCACCGAAGCUGCGGCAGCGAACGUAUCACUUAAAGCGAUUCAGCGGGUUACGAUUGACGGAGCGAAGCGACGUCAAAGCGUAUACAAAGUCGAGUCGGUUUAAGGAUACGUUCGUUGGGUAGGGGAGCGUUCUGUAAGCCUGUGAAGGUGGCCUGUGAGGGUUGCUGGAGGUAUCAGAAGUGCGAAUGCUGACAUAAGUAACGAUAAAGCGGGUGAAAAGCCCGCUCGCCGGAAGACCAAGGGUUCCUGUCCAACGUUAAUCGGGGCAGGGUGAGUCGACCCCUAAGGCGAGGCCGAAAGGCGUAGUCGAUGGGAAACGGGUUAAUAUUCCCGUACUUGGUGUUACUGCGAAGGGGGGACGGAGAAGGCUAUGUUGGCCGGGCGACGGUUGUCCCGGUUUAAGCGUGUAGGUGUGUGUUCCAGGUAAAUCCGGUUCACUUUAACACUGAGGCGUGAUGACGAGGCACUACGGUGCUGAAGCAACAAAUGCCCUGCUUCCAGGAAAAGCCUCUAAGCAUCAGGUAACAUCAAAUCGUACCCCAAACCGACACAGGUGGUCAGGUAGAGAAUACCAAGGCGCUUGAGAGAACUCGGGUGAAGGAACUAGGCAAAAUGGUGCCGUAACUUCGGGAGAAGGCACGCUGACAUGUAGGUGAAGUGAUUUACUCAUGGAGCUGAAGUCAGUCGAAGAUACCAGCUGGCUGCAACUGUUUAUUAAAAACACAGCACUGUGCAAACACGAAAGUGGACGUAUACGGUGUGACGCCUGCCCGGUGCCGGAAGGUUAAUUGAUGGGGUCAGCGCAAGCGAAGCUCCUGAUCGAAGCCCCGGUAAACGGCGGCCGUAACUAUAACGGUCCUAAGGUAGCGAAAUUCCUUGUCGGGUAAGUUCCGACCUGCACGAAUGGCGUAAUGAUGGCCAGGCUGUCUCCACCCGAGACUCAGUGAAAUUGAACUCGCUGUGAAGAUGCAGUGUACCCGCGGCAAGACGGAAAGACCCCGUGAACCUUUACUAUAGCUUGACACUGAACAUUGAGCCUUGAUGUGUAGGAUAGGUGGGAGGCUUUGAAGCGUGGACGCCAGUCUGCAUGGAGCCGACCUUGAAAUACCACCCUUUAAUGUUUGAUGUUCUAACGUGGACCCGUGAUCCGGGUUGCGGACAGUGUCUGGUGGGUAGUUUGACUGGGGCGGUCUCCUCCUAAAGAGUAACGGAGGAGCACGAAGGUUGGCUAAUCCUGGUCGGACAUCAGGAGGUUAGUGCAAUGGCAUAAGCCAGCUUGACUGCGAGCGUGACGGCGCGAGCAGGUGCGAAAGCAGGUCAUAGUGAUCCGGUGGUUCUGAAUGGAAGGGCCAUCGCUCAACGGAUAAAAGGUACUCCGGGGAUAACAGGCUGAUACCGCCCAAGAGUUCAUAUCGACGGCGGUGUUUGGCACCUCGAUGUCGGCUCAUCACAUCCUGGGGCUGAAGUAGGUCCCAAGGGUAUGGCUGUUCGCCAUUUAAAGUGGUACGCGAGCUGGGUUUAGAACGUCGUGAGACAGUUCGGUCCCUAUCUGCCGUGGGCGCUGGAGAACUGAGGGGGGCUGCUCCUAGUACGAGAGGACCGGAGUGGACGCAUCACUGGUGUUCGGGUUGUCAUGCCAAUGGCACUGCCCGGUAGCUAAAUGCGGAAGAGAUAAGUGCUGAAAGCAUCUAAGCACGAAACUUGCCCCGAGAUGAGUUCUCCCUGAGACUUAAAGUCUCCUGAAGGAACGUUGAAGACGACGACGUUGAUAGGCCGGGUGUGUAAGCGCAGCGAUGCGUUGAGCUAACCGGUACUAAUGAACCGUGAGGCUUAACCUUACAACGCCGAAG
rnacentral:rRNA from 2 species